GAGGAGGCAUCGGGAGUUGAUAUACAAGCUAUAGUGUGUGUGAUUAAGCUUAUUUUCUUUGGCCUCUAUACUUGGAUCUUUUAAGAGAAAGGAACGGAUCCUCACCUAGCAGAGGUGGUGAUAGUAUAGCUGUUCUGCAUAAACUGUUUUGCAAUUAGCAAAUGCAUAGAUAGAACUCGUGGGCAGCUCACUGUUACACCAGCCUAAACGAUCGUGAUCGUGUAUAUGCAAAUCACACUUCUACGUUUUAAGUCUUAGAGCCUGAGUUUAGUCACCGUGUUGUGAGGUACAUAUUGAUUUUGUCAUCAGCUGUGAAGCAGCAGAGAUGCGAAUGAAGAAGAAGAGCAAGUUUCCAUGGACAUUGAUCAGUACGUAGGAAACGGAGGCAACAGGAAGUGAAGCUACUGACUGUGGUACCACACGGGCCGCUCCAGUUCUUUACCAGCAUGAGAGAACAUCAUGUAACUACCUAUUGGUUAACAAAGUGUUCCAAUGAUGUAGGUAGACAACAUGUGUUGUUGCAUAGAGGACCGUGUUGGCUGCCAAAAGGGCGUGAGCGCUCGUUAUUUACUU
rnacentral:lncRNA from 1 species